GGCGGAGGGGCGGGGCGGUCUGUGAGGUUCUGCCAGGGGGGGCACCGCCGCCCCCCGCUCCGUUCUCCGGCCGCUCCCGGGCGGCGGGCUCGGGCCCCCAGACCCCCCGCCCGUGAGCCCCGCGGGAGGCGGGCGGCUGGGGCGGACGGGGCUCCGCCGUGGCCGGCACGGAGCGCGUCCCGCCGCGCCGGGGGCGGAGGAGCGCGAUGGCGGGAGCGGCGUUUCCCUGCGCUCCCCGGGGAGGAAGCGGCCGGCGGCCACACGGCGCUGCCCGGGACGCGGCCCGGCCCUGCGAGGCGCUCCGCGGGGAGCCCGACCCGGCCCCGCCGCCCUCCCGGCGUCCUGCGGGCAGCCCCGCCGCGGGUCUGGCCGUGCUCGGGGCCGGCUGACCGCUCGCUCUGCCCUCUCGCCCGGCUCCUGGAGCGUUACCGUCCUUUCGAACCGUAGCGCGGCGCUGGCGCUGUGGUUUGAGCCGCUGCUUCGGGACACCUUCGGAGUCUGGUGCGAAGCUCUUCGUUUGUUUAACUCUUGGCAGCCUCUCGUGUGAGAUGUUGAGGAUGCAGCAUCCUGACCGUCCCAGCCAGGACAGCAGGGGGGUGCUGGGGUUGCACGGGGGACUUACAGCCUGCCGAGCUGCCGGCCUCGCUUUUCCUUCUGUCUGUGAGUGCUUUCGUCCACCGCGCUUCAUGAACACAAAUCCUGGGUUCUCAGAUCCGUGCUGUACGACAUUAGGAGCUUCUCAAAGCGUCACUUGGGUACAUGUUCUCUAACGUACCCAUAGGCACAGACCCGCUCCGGGUGCUCUUUCUCUCUCUCUGGUACCCAUUGACACCCCUCACAGGUUUCAAACCCGGAGUGUGUCACAGAAGUCCCGGUUCCCUUGUCCCUCAUCUACUGGUUUGUCAAACAGAAUCACAUCGGCUGCUGCGGAGCCAAGAAUUGCUUUAUAGUUUUAUCACAGAACUUUUGCUCUCUUAGCAGAAGACAUUGUAGAACUGAUUUUACCUUCGUUUCUCAAGGAAGCAGGGAGUAAAGCGGCAGUGGAAGCACUGUAUUCGUUACUCAGAACAGGCCUUAUUCCUGUAGAGCAUUGCAGCACUCCUAAACACACACAUGAGUAAGCGUAGUACUUCAUACAAUCAGCUGUGGGAAAGGUUAGCUUGGGCCUGUUAGGACUUAAUUAAGGCUGUUUGUCAGUCCAUUAAGAGGAGCUAGUAUGGCAAGAUAACUGCGAUGUCUCGCAGUACAAGCCCAGAAGGGCGUUCAGUGGUGCUUAUAAAGGGGGAGUUUUGGAAAACAGUAGGUGGCUUUUCCAAGCUAUGUAAUUAUAAUGAAAGUAACUGCCAGGGGAAACCAUUCAGCAGGAUUCAGAGCAUGCAGAUAUUUAUAUGAACACAAAAACCUUCUACUGCAUUCGCAACGAAAGCCAAAAAAACAUUCUGAAGAUGCUGAAGCACAUGGCUUGGGAUUCAAAGGAGUCUGUAGGGAAUAAGGACUGUGCUUUUCUGUAUCCGCAGUGGUCUUGUGCCUGGUUCAGAGCAGGGGCAGAGGGUGCUGUUGGACCAGAAGGGUUGUGAGCUUUGUCACUCGUCGGGUGAGAAUAUAAAGUCAGAGUGCUCACUGACACUGCUGCGAAGGCAGAAGUUCAAAGGUCCCCCUGCUGUGAGUUGCUCCCCUCCUUAUAAAGCACAGUGUGGGGAGAGCCACGGAGAGUGUGCCACGGAGGAGCGCUAAGGAACACUGGGUGUGCACACAUGGGGCAUGAGAAGCUUGGAACGCACACGUGCUUCAGAAGAGGCUCUGUAUUGGCAACGGCAGGUUGUUCCCUUGACAGUCGAUUGCAGGGACUGCCAGACUGAGAUAUUCUAGGUGUGUGUUUUCUUCACAGGGAGGCUGGAGGACAAAAGCCCGUCGUUGCCAGCAGUGUUGCGCGCUGCUGAAACGUUACACUCUAUUAAUGCUCAUUUGAACGGCCGUUCUUCGUGACUUCCUUCCAACUCCUUUUUUGUUGUUCUCAACUCUUGCGGGCCUGCUGGCGGUGUGUUUACUGAGGACUCACUGAGAAGGACUUGUUCAGAGUCACUUCCUUGUUUGUCAUAGAGAUUCCGCGUGCGUGAGCCCACCUCUUGGUGAGCCGGUCCUACACCUGCCGUUAGGCGGCGUGUUCUGGUACAGGGCUGCCUUCCAUGGCUGUGAGCAGUAGUUGUUUAAACAAAGCAAUUCUUGUUUGGGUUAAAAUAUUUUAGAAUAAUCUAUUUCUAGUGUUUGUUAUUUCUCUUGCUUAUCUGGAGGGAAUACACUUUGUUCAGUAGGUGAACAACCACGGACUUGACUUACUUGAGAAGCAGCUCACAGGCUGUGCUUGCUCUGCGUGCCUAGACGUCUGUCAUCCAAUCUGUCUGUCCAGGAGCAACUACAGACUUACUGUUCUGACUGCUUGCACUUAGCGAGGGAGCCAGAAUUCAUAUGGUGCUGUGUGCCUCUUCAGACACAAAGGCAAGCGUGAAUUUAAACCAACUGAAGUGUGUGUUUGAUUUAGCACAAAACAUCUCUGAGGAGCCUGCAGCCACGGAACAGUCUGCCAGGGAUGAAAAUACACAUCCUUCAGCAGUCGGUCCAGUUGUAGGGGGUUAAGGUGGUUGUAGGUAGGACACUGGCAAGCCUGUCGUUGCUCUGUGCAAAGAGUUUGAUUUAGAUGGAGGGACUGGGAGUGUUCUCGUUUCUGUACUGGCGUGAAGUUCUUGCACACGUAUCGUAACCCUGUUUCUGUGUGUCUGAAAAUCCCAGUGUAACCCAGUAAAUAGGUAUGUACGUCCCCACUUCUUUCAACCAGGGCUGUAUUAGAGAAGCACGGUGUCCUUGGUGCUGGAGUCAGCCAGAAGCUUCUAGCUGCUGCAGAACACUGUGCUGUUUCUGCACGGUGAUACAGGCUAUUGGAAGCACUCAGUCUUACUUUUUCUACUUGGGAAGGAGUGAAGUUGAGGGUGGCGGUGAGUUCUCCACAUACCACAAGUACACACACACGUAUUUGUUCAGGCAAAUCCGCCAGAGUCUGAAGUGAGCAGUAAGUGGCUGUGUGUGCAGAGGAGCUGAGGGGGUGCCAGCUUUCUGUAGCUGCACCAGAAAGUGACAGAUAAAGAGCUGGCUCCUCUUCCUGUUUCCGUACUGGCUCAGCCUCAGGCAGCUCGUACAGCAGAGUGCACGUGAGGGGUUUACUUUAGCCUUUUACAGCAGAGCUUUCAGGAUUUGAUUGCUUGUGCAGAGGGUCUGUUGCAGAUAUAAUUAAACUGAAGCAGAAGUGCAUGACAACCUGUAUGCAGCCUAGCCAACCCUGUGUGUUUUCCAGGCAAAUCACGCUGUGAAUCACUGAAAACAUGUAAUCUUCUAUUGCAAACUGCUUGCUUACAAGAGUUCUUUUGUUCUGUAGGCUUUGUACUUUUCACUGUUAAUGAUUUUGUCUGUAUGAAAAUGUAAACUUGUGAUGUUUAAUAAAAUAUGUAAGUCAUUAGUUAUUUAGUGUCCAUUUUCAUCUUGUCACUUCAGUCUGGAGAUAAGCAGAAUGCUCACUGCAACUCUGACAGUUCUGAAUAACGUGGCUCUGCUUUGUCAGGUGGAACCCAUCACUUUGGGUUUCCUACUUUUAAAGGAAGUCGGGUUCAACAGUGAGUCUUUGCUUUUGUGAGAUCCAUGGAGCUUGGAGAAAGCUUUGGGGAAAGCUGCCUACUGAAAACCCAUACAUAUCAUUGGGUAGUUGGAACUAACUAGAAUGAAUUCAGUAUUUGGCUACUCACUGUAGGUGCUUGGAUUUCUCAUUAUUGUUGAAAUCAUCCAGAGAAAGGUCUCUGGCUGGCUGUUAAUUGUUUUCCUUUGGUCAGUUACUGGAGUACCUGGAAUUCAUGUCAUUGCAGUGGGGAGGUUUUACCCGCUCUGCAGGACAGACACCACUCAUUUCAUGCUUAAUAGAUCUGAAAGCUGAAUUAUAUAAUCUUAAGAGGAAAACUUGGUCUCUUCUCCAACCCUUUUUUGGGGCAGGGCAGGAGAGGAGGAAAGGAAAGCAGCCGUGGCAGAGAACACGAGCCGGGUCAUGGUGGCUGCUGUGUUCCCUCGUUUCAACAGGCUGAAUUUCUACCAGCUUCAAAUGCCAUGGAUGUCUCUGAGGUGUAAGAGCACCCAGAUUUUAAACUGAAGCACAGGUAUUUUUUUCUCUGAUUUUUAACAGAAUUGAUUUGAGCUGUCUGUAAUGGAGUAACAGUUGCCCAAGCUCUGAAAGUUCCUAUCCCAUUUGUAUGCUAAUGUCUCUUCAAGUCAGAUUUCUGUUCAGGCCUGGGCAUAAAACAAAGUACUGCAGUCACUCACUGAGCAAAAAUGACUUAGGAAUAUGUAUUUUCUCAGUUUAACCCUGAGCAAAAUAUUUUUGGCAUCGGCACAUUCAUUUACGUGGACUUGUGAGUGCUUUUAAAGUACAGCCUUUUAUAAUUGGGCUCCUGCAGGUUUGGUUAUUUAUGCAAAGCAGAGAGGCGCUUUGUUCUUUCAUAGCUUUGCAAUGGCAAUCUUUAGGAAAUGGGACAAUUGCAGGGAUUUUCUUGCUCCGUGGUAUGAUCUCAGCUCUGCGUGUUCUCCAAACUUCCUCACAUGGCUGUUACGUUAGUUUCUAUCUGUACUGUGCUUUGAAGCCAUGAUGUGUUGUUACUCUUAAGUAGACUGGUAGAGAAUUCUGUAUUUCAAUAUGGAUGUGGAUAGCUCACAAGCAUUCUGUUGUCGUUACCCCCUUACUCCAUUGGAUGCCACGAGCUGGGCUUUGCAUCUCGUCCCUGAAGAAGGACAGCAUCCCAGUGCCCGCCCUGGCCCGCUGCUGGUGUACUGAGUGCCGUGGUUCAGCUCUCCAGCUCCUACAGUUCUACUGCCAUUUGGAGGCUGGGACAACAGAAGUACUGCAGGCGUUUCUGAACACCAGCUCACCCCUACAGCUUCUUGGUUGACGGCAGAACUCCUUCAGGCAGUGUGGAAGUGCAGGCUUUUCUUACUCCUGGCAGCCGUUGUGGCUGUUGCUGCCUUGGCCUUCUGAAACAGAGAGAGGAAAGCAGAAAAGGGCUGAAUUGUGCAGGGAGCUUCCAGGUAAGCAGACACAUUCAGAACAUGCUUGUUACUUGUAUGCUGCUCGAGACUUUUAUAAAACACCAAUUUCUAUACUUUUUUUUGCCAGAGAAGGUUUCCAAGCUUUAUUAUUUUUUAAAGCUGUUUUAAUUCCUCUCCCCCACUUGGCUGAAGGUACCUGUGUUGGAUGAGCACAAAGCAGGAGCAGCAGUUCCCUGUGCUGCGGGGGUUGGAGCGUAGACCAGGGACCCUUUGGGUGCUCCGUACCCAUAUGUCCUCCAAUGGGAAGUGUGGGAGAGAUGAUGAGAUCUGGAGGCAGAGGCACUUUCUCCUCCAAACGCAGUGUCCUCUUCAACUGUAAAAUGUAGAUGUUUUUCACCUUUUGAAAUAUGGGAAGUCUUUAAGAAAGAAUGCAAUAGUUGGCCACCAGUGUCUCACAAGUUCCUACAGGUUGUUCAGAUGUAGCCUGGGGCAAAACAUAAGAUUUUUCUCAUUGCAUUUGAAUAAAGCUUUUUCUUUUUCCCUUAGAUCUCAAAUCAGCAGCAAACCCAUUCUUCAAUGAACAAACGUCCCUUGGUUUGGUGUGUGUUUGCAGGGCUGUGGUAGGUAUAGCUGUUACUCUUUAUGAACCUAAGUAAGUGGAGGGAAAGGAAGAAACUAAGCAAAACUCAGUGUACAAAACUAGAACAAGUGAACUAGUUUUUGCUUUCUAGUAAAGUUUCCUAGUUUUUGCUUUCUAGUAGUUUCAAAUACAGUCCUCUUCCCACCAGCACGGCCGGGAGUUCAGCAUUGAUGGCACAGUGCUCAUCUUCACCAUGCUUCCUUACAUCUUAACAGUGACAGUGCUGAGCACUUAGCACUGCAAAGUGGCAAGGUGAAGUGAAGCAUUUGGAAGUAUGUAUGAAAGAGGGAUGGGAGUUUCUGAGAAGAUAGGACGAGGUUUGUUGGUCCCGUUUGCUGCUUUUCAGGAGAUGACUCCUCCAGUGCACUGCCAUGUGAAUGAAAAGCUGCUCGUACACAAGCCUUAAAGCAAGAACUUGAGGAGCUGCACGCUGCCUUAGCUGUCUAGAAACACUGCUCAAACAACACGAUCUGGGCUGGGCCAUCAUUUAAAGGUGCUUUGAUUUUUCUUGUAAAGCAGUUCCACCAAAUGCACAAGAUGUUAUUUUGAAGUUCAGCUGAUGGUUUGAGAGAAGCAGAUAUUUGAGCAGCGCUCUGAAAUAUGUCAACAUUUUGUGUGCUGCUGUUCCCAUGGAAACAGGUAUCAGCUCAGAAAAAUGGCCUCGGGAUUUCAGAAUUAGAUGUAGAAAAUAAAAUCCAGAUAGGUUAGUCAUGCAUAUUGCUACUCAUAAGCUGAUACUGGUGGUGCUAAGCAAUACGCCAUGAACACAUCAGGUGUGGACACACACACUGGCAGGUCAGUGGUUUAUAUUUUUGCUAAGUGAGCCUUUGACUGAAGGAACUUUAUUAGAAAAACACGUAUGUAUGGCAAACAAGUAUACAGAUUGUAAGGUAAAUAGGUAUACAGGUAUAGGACCAGAGAGAUUAUUGUGUUACAAAGGAGUAAUGAAAUAAAGAGCUUACCCAUGUCCUGGGCUCACAGAAGGGCUCCAAGAAGAGUGAUCUCCAGAUAGAGAUCCUUCCUGCUUGGGAGUCAGCCCUUAAAUGGGGUCUCUGUGGGGUGCAGCCAGGAUCCACCCCUUCCGGUCACUCAGGUGAAGUUACGUUCACCUGUGCCCCUGCAGCUGACUCAGUGCCCACCUCAGGUGAUCAAUCAGAGGUUCAGGCCGUGAUUAUACAGUUCCCAUACAAUGCAUUAAUUGCAUUUUUUUUCUAGCCUGUUCUCUUCCACAUACCUGAAAGCAGUCACAUUUUCAUCACUUCUUUAGGCCUCUUCCCUGAAAAAAGGUGGAAGAGGUAUUGGAUGAGAACUACAGAUUUAAGCUAGUUGGCAGACUUUUUUUUUAACAUAAAAUGGCUGAGGAAACACAAACCUGAUCAUAUGGAAUCUUUAGCAGCAUGUAGAAAUGAAGCAGGUGCCAUUCCUUUGAGCUGUUUGCCUCUGGGGAUGUGUGCUUUAGGAAGGGCCGUUGCAGGCGGGGCAGUUAUCCCAGCUGAGCACUGAGCACGGGAUGAGUGCAGGACUCACUGCCAGCAGGGCAGUGUGCAGUGAGCACACCUUUAUGGGGCUGAGGGCAGAGCACCCUGGGAAUUCUUGGAAAAUGAAGUCUCCUCUAAUUGGAGGCUUGCAUCUUCAGCUUAAUGAUUCAGACAUGUCUAUCUAUUUUCUAGCUCAAGCCAUGCUUAGAUGUCUGUCUUUGAUAUGAAUUGGAUGCCCCACAUCCUCUAGAGCAGCGGCUCCCAGCUGGUGUUGGGCAUUGUGUUAAAGGAAAGGCACAGAGCAGGAGGUCAGUGCUGCAGGUGUGAAGGGAAUGGAAAGGGAUGGCUCCGGGGAGCGGGAGGGAAAGGCACAGCAACAGGAAGCUGCAGUGAUGCAGUUCAGAAGAGGUGGGAGACACUGGGAAAGGACAGUAAGGCAGAACUGCAGGCCUGAAGGAGGAAAGGGGAUGAGGUGGGGGUACAGGGCUAACUGCUGAGGUGGGGAAGCAGCCACGUGCCUGUGUGGGAGGGGAGAUGGUGUAGAAAACAGCUGUAAUGAAGCCACAAAAAAAAAAAAAAAAAAAGGACAAUUGCUCUAAAAACACUGGCACUUUCCCAAAGGAACACAGACUUUUUUUCACUCAAGUGGAAUUUGUUUGACAGAACAAUUCCCCUUAGAAAUAAAAUUCUUUAAACAUUGGAUCACUAAAUAACGAAGGGUAGAGUGCCUGGUGACCUAAAUCAGAUUCCUUAAAAGGAUACCCACGAGGACCAACCCGUGCUUCUGUACGGGCUCCACUUCAGUGAAACAUUCUCCCAAAACUCUGGGCUAAAGCAGGCCUGCAAUUCGUGCACAGUGUGCUGUCUGUAAUAGCAGCUUACUGACCUCAGUGUGCAUGUGGGCGGUUACCACGGGCAGUGUGGUUGUACACUUACCCGUGUACACCUCCACUGUAACCUGUCUGACCAACAGUCCCACAGGCCUCAAGGAUGGAAGCGCAGUGCAGAAGCAACGCGCAGGCAGCUGGCCAGAGCAGCUUUUGUUCAACACAACAGCAGAGGCCCUACAGUGAGGGAUUCAAGGAGGAUCUUACAGUAGGUACGGUGUUGCCAAGUUAUUCUUGUUUAUCUGUUACAGUAGCUCAAGGCUGCUGCCUAGGUUGGUACCCACAUUCACACCAACUACACAGGUACUGCAUUUGAAGCUCACUGGUUGCUUAAAAUAUCCCAGCGUGUAAUUGUCCCGGUAUGACAAGAAAAUAGGUUUGUAUGGCUUGUUGUAAGGUCCUCAUCUCACUCACUGCCCCAUGAGUUAGCUUUUAUCAAGCAAGUGUAACCAUUGCUGAUAUGUGAGACUGCAUCAGCUCCUGUGAAGGCCCGUGUUAAUCUGAUUUUCAGGAGCCACGAUCACUUUGAUAUGGCUGCAGAAAGAAACAAAAGAGCCAGAAGCCUCACAAACUUUAAACAACUUAAUUUAUUAGAACCCAUAUAUGUUGCUUUCAUUAGAAGAAUCAAGUUAACACCUAAUUCAGGGUGAAAUUACAUUUUAAGACCAAAAAAAUUGCAGAGCUUAAAUAUGGUAUUUACUGAUGACUGCUGUUCUCAGAAUCCUGGCACAGGUUUGUUCUUGCUGUGUGGUGUUAUUAUGGUAUCUAAUUCAGAGCAGGUUCAGCAUUUAUUUUGAACUGGAAGUACAUCACGCCACGCAAAGGGCUGUUCCCCCAUCUGCCUCUCAGACGUUUGUAAUGAAGAACUCAAGCCUUAAACACCACCACAGAAACAAAACAAACCAGUGGAAUGCAUCACCAGAAUUUGAUCUUUUAUUUCUUGUGUACUUCAGACUCAUUAGCAGAAUAUGCCUGUAGCAAAAAUAACGUAGCAAAAAAAUGGUGCAACUUUUGACAUGUAAAAGGUCCACUGAAUGGGCAUCAAGCAAGACUGUUAUUUCAGAUUGGAACCUGAGUACAGAGAGAGUACAAUCACCCACGUCAAAGGUCCUGUAAUUUCUUUUCACACUAGCCCUUUUGGAGAAGCAGGUUAGGUUAAUAACCUCAUUUUCCACUACUGUGAAUCAACUGAAUCAUUUGGAUACAAUUCAGAAUGUGCUGAACGCAUAAUACAAAAAGUAUCUAACUUACAAACUGGUCUGAGACAGAAAAGCAGGAGGUGGAAGUGGCAGAUGUUUGGAGAGAUCUGUAUCAAAGUAUCACGUUGUAAAUUAACUUGAGUGACUGCAACACAGGAUGGAGUCUCUUGGAACAGUAAAACUCUGCAUACAAGGUAUUUAGGGAGGGUAGGGGGUGUUCCUUCCAUUCAGGUUCCUGCAGAGCUGAUGUAGACUUCUUCCCGUCCCCAUCCCCACACUGAAACUUGCUCUUCUUUAACACGUACACAAAGAUUCCCUGCAAGCUGUGUUGAAUUAUUUAUAUUACCUUUUAAGAUAAGCUAUUAGUUACACAACUUUUUCAGGAUGUAUCAGUUACUGAAGCCCUCCUGUCACUGAUCUCCAGCUCUAGCUGCGAGUUGUGGUCACUGUACAUGAGAAGCAAAAUGGUGCUUGCCUCUGAGGACUAUGCUGCUGUCAUAUCUUUCCUCACUUACAUAGAAGGAGGAGCAAUUUUUUAAACAUUCAGUUCUCAUUCUCAAAUAGCUUACCUGCAGAAUACAAAAUCCACAGCACUCAUGGAAAAAGCAGAGUAUUUUUGCUCAUACAGGUAUUACUGUAGAAAAGGAGUCCUCUGGCUGUACAUUGUUUCCACAGUGUAUUUGUUACAUGAGAUACAAACUGUACAAGUUCUCCAGUUUACAAAGUUUUCUAAUUUGCAGAAACAAUUCAGCCCCUAUUUAUAAUACCGGUUUUAAAUGUAAAGAUUCUUGCAGAUAAGGUACAGUCUAAUUGGCUCAAUGUAACAACAAAGUGUCACUUUAAUACAAUUUGCAAUAGUACAACUAUGUACAUAUGUACAGAACUGCUUCCUUCUGUUACUUCCCUAACUUGGAGUAUACUUAUUUUUAAUUAUCAGUUUGCUUUAAAGUGUGAAACACCGAAGUAAAAAUGGUUCAGUUUUGCAGCACUUCAAGUUCUUCAGUUGAGAUCUCAUCUACGUUUCCCAUUUAAUUCAGCCUUAAAGAACACCGUCACCGAAGCGUGGCUUGCUGUAAUCAACGAGGUCAUUCUGUAGGUCUCUUUCUUCAUCAUCUUGGACGUCUUCUUCUCCACCAUCACCAUCCUCUUCCUCAUUGUAAGCCAGCUCAGCCUGUUUGUCUGCCUCGUACUCACCCACGUUACCAUCAUCCCCAUUAUAAUCUGCCAGUUUAGAACCCUGCUGCGGAUCAACAGGGGAUUCAUUCUCAUCAAAGAAUCGGCCUGCGAAGUAGGCAAAGGAUUAAGUCAGAAGCAGAGAGGAAAGAAACAGGAAGAUUCUAAAUGAAAGCAGCCUGCAGGUUAGGAUAUUCAGGUGUCUGUAGCAGUUUUGACUGGAGGAAAAAGGGAGUAGAAGGGAGAGUGCGUGGGCAGGAGGGACAACAGUGCUGCUUAGGAACACCUCCGUGGAGAAAGGAUGUCCUUGACUGCCCUGAACUGGGGUUUGAGAGAUCUGCCUGCUGUGGGCUUCACUUUGUAGAGAAGAGCAGGGGAAGCACCCAAACCAAAAGCUGCAUCGUUGGUUGUCUACAAGCACAACACUGCAAGUGUGCUCUGGUUUUAUAAAAUGCUGAGGAGCACAGAGUGAAAGUUUUUGUACGCAUCUUCCUGAACCAAAACAAUGGAGCAAAACAUUGCUGACUUUGUACAUGGAAAUGUAAACCAUAGUGUCAAGGGUACCAACCUCACCAAGAUCUGCCUCGCACUCUACACUGAUUUUUGUCAAACCAUCCAAUUAAUCUGGGUACAUUCAGGUUUUCUGCUGAGCUUUACGUUCUCAAAACGUUCCAACUGCAGUAUUUUUAUCUCACAGCAAAGAAUUAAGAACUGCUCCACACAAACCACUGUUCCAACAACAAACUAGAAAAAUAAUUAGCUGCAACUAUGAAACAACCACAAAUGAGCACAGAGUGAAAGAUUCAUGGUGUAAUGGGAGUUCAGAGCUGGUGUGUAGUGGGGUACGAAGGAGAAACAGGCAAGUCCACAGAAUUCAGUCUGCUUGGCCAUGGCUUAAAGAAAGCAACAGUAACCAAGGGCACGGGUCUGGAGACUGUGUAUAAAGGGAAAACGGGAUCAAACAGCAACUCAGUCAUUACAGGCUGGAAACAAACCAAGGAAAAAGUCUGCCAAGGCAGAUGUUACGCGAUUCACGUUGGAAACAAUUAAACACAGAAGUAAAACUGAAGAUACGAUUCCAACCUUAGGAUUAAAAAAGUGGUUGGGUCGCAAUGGACAGAUGUGAAAAUGAACUUUUCUCUUAAAACAGUGAAAACUGGUACGUGGCAGUAUACAAAACUCAGAGCAGAAACAAUAACAGUGCUUGAAAAACAGAAGGAUGACAGCUAGUGCCCCUCACACGUACAGAAACUGGUGCCUCAGUCACGGCCAUAAAACAAGAAACUAUGAUCUGUUAGUACGUCAGAGGUCUGAUAGGUUGCUCAUUUUCUAUUCAUCUCUGUAAUUCAGUAAUCCUUGCAAAUGUUGUUUUUAUUUUUGGACUCUGCCUUAUACAAACAGAACUGUACAAUGUACGCAUGUUAAAUAUAAAAUUGGGCACGAGAAAAACUGAAUGUACUUAACUUACAGAAAAAAAAACAGGGCUGUGGAUGUGCAGAAAUGCUACAAGUGUAAGCUGACAGAAGGAAAGGUUAAAACAUCAGGAAGGCCCCAGGGAACCCAGCACCCCACCGACUGCGUGUGCAGAGCCAGGUGUGAGGGAUGGAGGCAGCUGAUGACUCCCUGCCCAACACCAGGAGGGCAUCAGCUCUGACACAAGGCACUCACACACGCUCCUGGGGCACCGAGAGCAGCAGAACGGGAGCCUGCAAGGCACCAGCUGCCUUUUGAACCACACACGGGCAGCAGCACCACCUGGAAUCUGUCCCAGGAGCACAUGUUGGUGUCGUGGGCUGCUACUCAGCUCACUGCAGUCGUGAGCUGGUGUCUGUAACACAGGCAUUACAGAGGCUGUUUGAGAGAGCAGAAUGAUGUCACAAAGCAGGAGAGGCAAGGGACAGCAAUGGAGGGUCCCGUAAGGAUGUGAUGGAUGCUAAAAGCCGUAGGGAAUUUUUGACAAAAGGAACUCAGGUAAUAGUUGGGUAUUGCUAACCUGGACCCUUACGCAGCCCUCGGAGCAGCUGUCUGAUGGUCACACUAAGGCCCAUUACAGGACAGCUGCACACAGCAGCACACACUGCAGCUCUGCUGCACUCCACUUCUAGUGCAGGUUUCUAGAUGUGACAGAAAGAAAUCCUCUCCCUUGCUGCAUCAUUAUGGUACAGGGUAUCGCAUGGAAGGGAGAGGGAAGAUGAAGUGCAAAGGCUGAUCAGUGCUUAGUGACUCUCAGGUACCCACAGCCUUCAGUGGGGCCGCUUCCAUCACUGCUCCUGCCCCCCAUGCCGUUAAUC
rnacentral:lncRNA from 1 species